CAGAGUGGAGAACACACUGAGCUUCACACCAAUGUCUUAACCACACUUCUUUUAUCUUUUUAUCUUGUUUGGGGUCAAAUCAUGAAAAGGACAAUAGUGGGCAGCAUUGUUUUUGUUCAUAGAAUCCAAACAUUUAUCUGGACUUUCAGUUUCUUAAUUUGGUUGUUUGACUUUUAUUUUUGACUCAGUUACUGGUGUUGUGUUUUUGUCUUUGUCAGUUUUUUUGUGGACUUCCUGUUUUACUUUGACACAUCCUGUUUCACUCCCUUUUCCCUCCUUUCACAUGACCAGCCCCGCCCUGAUUAGUUUCACCUGUGUCUCGUUGUCUCUCCCUUUGUUCCCUGUCAGAUUCUCUGUUAUGUUGCUCCUCGUGUCCUGUGUCCCUGCCGUUGUGAUCCUUGUUUCCAUGAUAGAACCAUCAACUAGAACGUGUCAGAACAUCCAAAAGGGCAGAUGCCACUAAGGACGACUUAAUAUGACUGAAUACUGACAUGUAUUGUUUUUAAAAACACCAUUUUCUGCCUCUCACCUGGACCGUUUCCACUCAGCUGAGUAAAGUUGUCCAGCAUGAAACUGAAAAAACUGGAGAGCUGAAGAAAUGGAAGAAAAAACAUAAUGAAGCUUGUGAUGAAUGAAUCAAGCCCCCCCCCACCGCAUGUGUAUGGGGACAGUUGGUGGACACUCACCUGUAGC